UGCCCAGCAACUCCUAACCCUACCUCCUCGUGGUACUAUCCGGGGUACGAGUAUCCACAGGGAAGAUCGGGUAACCAACCACCGGUGGAAACUUUGGUCGUAUGGUGACAGAGUGGG
rnacentral:ribozyme from 1 species